AAUCAUCCCCUGAUGGUAUAAUAGGAGUCUCAGGGACCAUAUCAUCUGCUUCUAAGCAAUAAGCCAAAUACACUCCUCCGACAGAACAGCACGAGGAAGCCCCACAAGGUGAACCCAAAAGGAACAAUGUGUGAAUUCAUAACAAUGCUCGGGAAUGGAAUGUUGAUAUUCAGCUCUGUGAUUUCAUCUGCGGUCCAUAGGUCCCCCGUCCGUUUGCA